rnacentral:lncRNA from 1 species
UGUCCUUUAUGUUCAUGCCACUCGCGGCGAAGGUAGUAAUGUGUUCUAGUUUUCUCUUCGCAUUCUCCACAUCCCUCGUGUUCUCCUUUGAGGUGCUUGCGCUUUCUGAUUUCUUUUUCUUCUACCACCUCUUCUUUCUUCUCGGGUCUUGGGUUUUUCUUCUACUUUGCUUCUCUAAUUUCGUGUUCCAAGGGUGGCCUGAUAAUUCUAAGACCUCUUUCCACCUUUAUGAUUUGGUCCCCUGCAUGUGACUGAAGCUUCUUUGUGAUCCCCACCUUCACGUUGGAUGCUUCUGCCAAGAAACGUGGAUCGAAGCCACCGAACAUGUUUCUAUUGUUACCUUCUUCUUGCUUGCACCCACCACUACCAGGGUGCUCUUCUUUUGGGUUCCCAGGAAGAUAACUCUGCAACAUGCCACCAAAUUAAACGAGUAUAAUAAUAAAAAAAAGGUUUAAUAUGCAUCACGAAAUAUAUGAUGACCAUGUUAAGUUUGUUGGGUUUUUUUGGACUGGGUUUUUUUGGACUCCUUUCUAAUAUGGAGUAAAAGUCCAAAAUGAGAAGAGAAUAUAUUUCACUUAUUUAAAUUGAGAGGAGUUAGAUUAAAAAGAGAUAUAGUGAGAGAAACUCUUUUAAAAAAGAAAAAUAAUUACAAAUUAUUAAGAGAGAAAGAAUAAAAUGAAAAAUUAUUGUGAUGGGAUCAAGAAAAACAUUCUGAUCGAAAAAAAGAUAUCUAUAGAAAGAUAUUAGUGUUUGGUAUUGUACUCUUUAUAUUUUAGAGUUUUAUCUUCUUGUCUCUAUUAUUAAUUGUGGGGUUUGUUUUGAUUUGAUUAUUUGUAACAUAUUAGUAUAUUUAUUGGAGGUUCUCUUGUAUCUUUAUUGAUUAUAAUGAAAUUAUUUAUUUGAUCUGAUUUUUAUUCUUAUAUUGAGAAAUUUUUCAUGUUAAACAAAUUAUAUUUCUAUUUUUUUUUUAUUUUAUUCUUUAUGUUUCUCACAUAUCCUUAUAAGUUUAGAAGAAUUUAUUUAUGUUUUUUAUUAGUUGUUAUAGAGUUUGUUGUUGUGUUGGUGUAUUUCUGCGUUAAAGUUGACAAUGAAUUUCUUACUCUGGCAACUCGAUCAAGCUGGUUUGCCGAAUUGGCAGUGUGAAGGAGUUACAACAAGGGAAACAUUUGCGUAGUUGUAGGUCCAGUAAGGAAUUCCAGGUGGAACAGCGAAUAUGUCACCCUGCCUCAGGUAACGAACCUUCUGGUGGCGAUCAUGUUCCUGUUCCUGCUCAUGCUCACUCUCCGGUUGUGGCUCUUCAUAAGUCUCGUCACAACCAGGAAUUACAAUUCCCAACACUCCCUCUCCUAUGGAAAUAAUUAAGUUGAUGGAUAAGAAGACUAAUAAAUUGAUGAGGAGGAAUGGAUUGUGUUGUGUGCAUAUAUAUCAAGUUGUUGAACAACCUUGGAGUACGAAAUGGAGUUCGGGGUAAUUAACGUAGGAUGGCAAGUGAAGGCAUUGGGGUUGAUAAAAGCAACGCCAGUGCAACAUAGCUCAUGUUGGGAAUUGAGGGGAGUAAUCAAUCACAUAAGGGAAUCGCAAACACACACUUUAACCUAAAAUCAUAAACCUCAUGUUGGUAAGUCUUUUUUCGGGUGUUUAAUUUUUUCAUUUUCACACUUGUAUUUUAAGAUAUGAUGCCACCUUGGGAUUCGAUGGGAUUGUGAGGGUUCAGUGCAUGGAUGAUAUCGAGUUGGGACUGCUGCUUGAACUGGCAUUGAUCACGAGCUAAGCACCUGCACGUGAACUAGAGCAGAAAGCAGAGGAGCGCAGAAUGCUUGAGCAUACUGAACUGAACAGUAGUUGCGAGGGAUAUAGCUAGCAAAGGAGGAAUUGCUACGUGCUGAUUAAUUUAUAGAUUAGAGAGACACGUCACUGGACCCUGCAUGUAUUCCAAACCCUGAUUUCUUACCCCUUAUCAACUUUAUUGGCCUUGCGGUGCCUCUUCACAGAAUCAUCCAACAAUCACCCAAAUUCUUUUUCUGUUUCCUCAUUCAUAAUUAAUUUCUGCUACCUUAACCUGUGCUUUAUCAAGACCAACGAAAUUUAGAUAUCUUCUGAGCCCUACCUAGUACCUACUGUUUCUAUGCUCUAUAUCUUGUAACUGUGCAAGAUAAUAGUGUAUAUUGUUCCUUUUUAAUUGGUAUUUUGAGCCUCUAGCGUAUUUAUCCUGGCCAUCUCAUUUAGCCUUAAAAAAAAAUUUAAUAUGGUUUAGAAACAUAAAGUGCAUGUCGAUCCCUUUAUAUUAUAGGCUUAGACUCAUUUUCCUAGUAGUAAUUUAUUUAGUUAUAAAAAAAAUAGCGUAACUCAUAAAUUUUUACAUGUAUAAUUUCAUUCUUGAUAAUAAAAUAUUUAAUCAUAAAUUUCAUCACUUUAAAAUUAAAUUUAAUUAAAAUUAAUUUUAUUAAUAUUCAUUCCAAACAUGUACAUGUAAAUUUUAGAUAUCUAUUAUUUGAUUUAUUUUUCCUUUUUUAAGAUUGUGUACGUACAUUAAUUGUUGGAUAGAAUCGAGUUUCACAUACAUGCAUUCAUGUCUAUCUAAACUAAGUAGGAAUGUAGGUACUGAAUAAAGACAGCUGUUGUUAAAUGAAUAGAUAUGUCGUGUCUCCAUUCUUCCGAGUGAAUGCCCAUAAGAUCCAAAUUACUUAAACCUUUGUUUGGGCAGGUGGCUGUGAACUAUAGUCCAUCAAAUAUGCUAUUCAACACUCAGGAAGUGAAAAAGAAAAAAAAUAUAGAUGUAAUAAAUUUUAUAAUGUAAUAUUAAAAUAAAAAUAAAAAUAAAUAUAAAAUGCUAAACAUUUUUAAAAAAUACAAAAUGUUAAUGCGAUAUUUAACAUAGAUUAAUAUUUUCAGUGGCUCAAUUUCUUUUUUAUCUGUAUCUCUUCUCUUGAACUUGAGAUCUAUAUUUUGCUGCAGACGAUGACAUGGAGCCCGAAGAAAAGUACCACAAGCAAUUACGUAUACAAACGCAUAUGAAACCGAUUAAUUAAGGUUCUUACAAAUAAAUUAGAGCAAAUAGUCUGGGACACUUUGUUUUUCAUGAACUCAUAUAUAUAUAUAUAUAUAUAUAUAUAUAUAUAUCAAAAGCACAAAUUUUCUUUUAAGUUUACAUACUCAUAUGUAAAAUUGAGCUUAAGUGAAAAGAAAAAACAAACGAUAUAUAGUUAUUGAGGAUCAAAUUUGUGUUAUGUCACAAAAUUCUACAAUAAAAACCACUUAUUUAUCUAUCUGUAUCUAUUAUACAAAUAUUUUGCGUUUCUAUUUAUGAAUUUAUUUAUCAAUAUCUGCAGGUAUAAUUGCAUUUUACGAAGACUUAUUUACAAGAAAAUAAAUGUAUACACUAUUUAUAUUACACUAUUGUUAUACUAUUUUUUAAAAUAAUAUAAUAACACAUUUUAAUUAAAACACAUAUUUUACUUUUACCUUUUUUAAAUUAAAAAAAAAUGAUAACUAUAUUUGUAAAAUCAGAAAAAUGUAAAAAUAAUGGAAAUAUUUAAUGUAAAAAAUAUUGAUUUCCUUAUGGAAAAAUUAAAAUCGACUAAUUGGCAUGAAUAAUAAUUAUUAUUAUUAUUAUUAUAUAUAUAUAUAUAUAUGAUAACAAUAUUAUUAAUAUUGUUAUAUGUAUCUAAAAAAAAAAAGAAAAAACUCUCUUUCUUGGGGGUGUGACACUUUCAAUUUUAGUCUUUCAUGCUCAUCAUGUCCUGCAAUCGCUUCCCAAAGAUAUCAUCGGUCAAGCUACUAUCUCUUAGACCAAUUGUUAUCAACAAUAUUUCCUUAUUUUGUUCUGCAAGAAGGAUAGAAAAGAAUAAAAAGAAAAGAAAAGAGAUUGGACAGAAAAUUUAUUGGAAUUUCUUCUUUUAUUUAUGCUUUUCCCGCAUAGGUACUUGAGUGACUCAUUACACAAGGGUACAUAGUUACUAUACCCGUUAUUCUACACUUAACAAAGGGCAUCUAAGCCUUUGUUUCUUUUAUUCAUUCUUAUUUACUGCUACCAGCACUAGCUAGAGCCCAAAAGGACAAAAGUGUGGUAGCACAUGCAAAAAGGGCUCUCUAAGCCACAGCUCUCCUCUGAGACUCCUGAGGUGGAACCAGGAAGCUGAAAGGGUUGUUGUUCUUCACCUGCCUGGCCUGCUGGCUCUUUAGGUUAAAAGUGUGCUGAAUCACUUCCUCUGGCAAUGCGUUCAACAAUGAGUUUGCCCCUGCAAGGUUUCCGAUCGAGGGUCUAUCAUUGGUCUUGAAUGACACAUACUCAAAGUUAUCGCUCUGGGAUUUUGCAGCCACCGCAAAGUUUUGUGGAACGAUCAGCACCCCUCCCUCUUGCAGCUCUCCAUCAAACACUCUCUCACCAUUGCAAUUCACCACUUGUACCAAUGCCCGCCCAUUCAAUGCGUAUAUUAUGCUGUUCGCGUUCAGGGUGUAGUGUGGCACGAACAUAGCAUUCUGCACCAUACAUCAAUAUCCAUGCAAGUGUACGUUAAUCACAACAUGUUAUUCAUCCAAUAUUUUUAUAAUAUUAUUAUUUUCCUUUUAUCUUUUCAUCAUGAUAUUAAUUAAUUAUCUCACUAUCUUAUACCUUUUCUUCCUAAUCCUAUGGAAAUUAUUAUCAGGUAUUUUAUCACAUGUCAAUAUAUAGUCUCAUAGAAAAAUAUGUUUUUGUGAAUCAGAAUAUUUUUGGCACAAAAAUAUUUUUCUUUUUUUUUAAUCAAAGUAUUUUUUGGUUAAAAGUCAAAAACAAAUUUUUCAAGGUUGAAAAAAAUUUCAUACUCAUGAGUCAUAUAUCUAAAGGACAAAAUUAUCUACUAAUUGUAUCACAUGUAACAAAAAUUAAUAACACAUGCAUAAUUACAUCUCAUGCAGAGAUUAAUUAGAUUAGUAAAAUCGACACAAGAAACUGUGACUACUUAAUAACUUCGGGCAUUUCUAUAUAUAAAAAAAAAGCACAUGAAUAAUGCAUAUGCAAGUGCUAAGAUAACUUUGUCGUCACACAUUUUAAUUACUAUAUAUAACUAUUACCAUUUUUUAACAUUUGUUGAGCUUAAUUUAUAACAUGUAUGAUGUACGUACCUUGCGGAGUGAUCCAUACUGGGCACUGAGUUUGAGAAGCCAGAGGGCUGGGAAGUCAAGGCUGGUGGCGGUUGUGAUGCUACCAGCUUGAGGGUUGUAGAUGUCAGGUGAUGAAUUCUGACCAAUGUUUUGGCGAAGUCUCAUUGUGCAAAUGGUCUCAUCAAUGCCAUUUCUGCUCCUUUUGCUUUGGCGUUGGCAACCUUUGUCUGUCUCCACGCACUGUGGCUGCUCUUCCUCAUCAUCAUCAUCUUCUUCUUGCUGUGGCUUCCUCAUGGCUGGAGCUGUGACUCUUAGACCUCCUUUCACUGUCACAAUGGCUCCACUAUCCUCCUCUUCGUUCUCACCUUGUAGGUUUCUCACUAUCUGCAUGUUCACGCCGAACGCUUCUUUCAAGAAUUCAGGGGCGAAGCCACUCAAUAUGUUGCUUCCUUCGUUUUCUUCUUCUUGUUGCUUUCCUUUCUGGCUUUGGGAACCUCCUUGCUGCUGCUGCUGAUAUUUUAGAAACUCUUGCUCUUGGUUCCCAGCAAGAUAGAAUCUCUGCCAAGAAUUGUCAAAACAAAUAGUUGUCAAUCCGUAACCAGCUAGUAUUAGAACUUAAGAAUUCUAAUCUUAACGUUACAAUGUAGUCCAGUUUCCUUUUUUUAUCAGCUACAAUAUUGUCCAUGUAUUUCAAGACAAGAACCAAAUUGGAUAAAAAAACACAACUAUAAGGAUCCAAUUGGCAUAUUUUAAUCUAUAGGUACUAAAUUAGAAAGUGCAACUCCACGAACUAAAAUGAUAUUUAAACCUUUAAAGAAUUAUAAUAUCUAAUAUUGCUAUGUGGCUCACCCUAGGCAUCUGGUCGAGCUGGUUCUCCAAGCUGUUGGUGUCAAUAAUAGAAACGGCAACAACAGGAGUGUCUUCAUUGUUGUACAUCCACCAUGCAACACCAGUAGGCACUGCGAUCAAAUCACCCUCUCUGAAGCGAUGUACCUUUUGGUGACGGUCUUGGGGCCUCUGGCUUCGUCCUCGUUGCUGAGAUUCUUGCGGCUCUUGAUAAGUGCUAGGACAACCCGGGAAUAUCAUGCCAAAAAUACCAUUACCUAUUCAUAUAUAUUACACAACAACACAAAGAAAAAAAAAACAUUAGCAUAACCAUUUUCUUUUCAAAAUGCAUGGUUUCACAAAACUGAGAAAUUGAAACAAGUUAUUAUUAAUUUGAAUAUAUAAGAUAGGUUGGACGGUUAAGAAGAAAAACAAAAGCCACAGUUUCAAUCAAUUUUACUAACAAAAACUAACCAUUAACAUCUGAUAAAAAAAAAAUUAAACAAGAUUAUGGACCUUGUUGUAUGUAGAUUUCCUGGGGACCGUUGGUGUAGGAAGGUCUACGAAGGGCAUUGCGGUUAAGGGUGCAGCGAGAGAGGGCAACACCGGCACACUGGAAUGGCUUGUUGUUAGGGUUCCAGGUCUCAAUGAACCCACCUUCCGACUCUAUACGGUUAUCCGGUUUGAGGGCAUUCAGCUUUUGGAUCUGGCACUCAUUUUGCUGUGCCUGCUCUCUCAGAGCGAAGCAGCCACUGAAAAGAAGGAAACAAAGGGAAAGAACAAGCUUGGCCAUGGUGAUGAGUGUUCAAAGACAAUGGAGAGAAUGUUUGUGUUGUGAAGCGGAGAACCUGAGGCGUGGUUAUUUAUAGGGAAGAGAGGAAGGUGGGUGAGGGACACGUCACAGGAGUGGGGUGCUGAGCUUGAGACAUUCUUCAGUAUGCAUGGCUAUGGAAGCCUUGUGUGUUACACCUCAUUAAGUUCAUGGGUGUGAGGUGGCUUCGACAGUUCGACAUCAACAUUAUGUGACAAAUACCAAGUGUGUUUGUAUUGCAUGCAAUUGCCAGAAAACGGUGGUGGAGAGGGGGACCAUGGUUUCAUUUCAUGUUCGCGGGUUUAUGACAUAUGAAAUUAUAUGAAUACACCGUGUGACAAUGAUGGGAUCCUCAAAGUGAGAAGAAGGGCCGUCCAAAAAUGACCUCACUCUAGGGAUAGAGAAAUUAUUAGGUGUUAUGAAAUUAUCACUAUUCAUGGUUUUGACAGAUCUUUAUGUGAUACUAGUUACUCAAUUUUUUUUAAUUUAAUUAGGAAAUAAUUAAUCAUACUUUAAUUUACAUAUCAUAAAGAUUAGUGGAGAAUAAUUUGUACUGUAUAUAUAAUAAUUUCUUGGAUAGAGAAAUUAUAUAUUAGGGACAUUUUGUUUUUUGGAUUAUCCUCGUUUUGAUUGUCAAUAUAAAAAAAAAGUAAGCGAAAAUAAGAAGAAAAUGACUAAGUUUUAAACAAUUAUAUUAGUUAAACAAAAAUACUUAUAUGUUUUAGGUCUAUAAUAAAUAUGAUUAAUUUUAUUUUGAGUUCUAAUUUUAAUUUUUUUUUCUUUGUAUUGGAUUCUUAUAUCUUAAAAAAUUUAUUUUGACUCUUUAUCAUAGGUAGGUUAGUAAUGACAUAUCAAUCAAUUAACAAAUUACAAAGUCAGAGUUUAAAAACUGUGGGUAUUUCUGAUAGAAAAUAAUCUGGAUUGUCUCUAACUCAUUAGCCUCUCGAUUUUGUCAGGUUCGGGCUUAGUGAAUGCAACGGAUUCUUGGGUGUGUUCCAAUCUGCGUUGUGGCUUGGUUUCUUUUGCGGCCUCAAACACUUUCUUCUUCUCCGGAGGAAGUUUUUUAAACCCUCAUCCGAAUAAAGUAACCCCAUGUAAGCAAUUUUUAAACCCGUAUAGUCCGAAUAAACAAUUUGAAACCGCCCGAUUGUGUCUUUUUAUUUAUUCCUUUAGUGUGGGUUUGGUUCGAGCUUCUCUCGGGUUUAUGCUCAGCCCUAGCUACUACCAUUAUUCAUUUAAAAAAUAAGUUACAAUUUGUGACAGUUUGAAAGCUGUCAGAAUCAAUUAAAACAAAAAAAAUUAAAAAAUUAAAUGUAUUUUGAUCCUCCUAUUUUAUCAAAUCCAUAAAUUUGGUUUUUUAGUUUUAAGAUUUUAAAAUUGAGACCGUUAAUUCCUCUCUUUUCUAAAAUCAGGAAAUUAAAUUUUUCUGUCAAAUUAGUUGUGUUGACCAAAUGUUGACUGUUAAAAUUUUCUUUCUUCUUUUUCCUUUUGCUUUCACAUAAACCUCAGUCUUAUUUGUUCAAGGAAUUAUGCACAUUUUGUGCCCACUGUCCAUGGCUGCCAAAAGUUUCUUGGUUAUUCGAGUCAAUUAAUGCAACAAUCUGGAUAGAUUAAUUGUAGUUCUAUGCAAUGAUUAAGAACUAUCAAAGCAUUAAGAACUUGUAGCUCCUCACACACGAGAAAUAAGAAAUGGACAAGAAUGAGAAUGAGGACUCGAGCCUAAAAUUUAAGGCCAUGGACACCAAAUAUACGGGAAUGAUUGCACAUUUUGCAGGAAAUAAGUAGUGAGCCACAAACAUAAUUCCAUUUAUUCAAAGAAUAGUUAAGUUAUCAUCUUUAUAUAUUUUAAACACUUAAAUUAGCACCUUUACAUUAAAAGAACGCACACUAAUAUUAUUAAAAAAAGUAUUCAUCAUUUUGUAGGCCAACUUAAAAUAUAAUAUAUUAUAUAUAUAUAUAUAUAUAUAUAUAUAUAUAUAUAUAUAUAUAUAUAUAUAUAUAUAAUAUUAAAAUACUUAAUGUUUCUCACCUUUUUUAUGUUUGUUAUCAUAUAAAAAAACAUAGAUGAAUUUUAAAAAGUAAAUUAUUUACCAUCAAUUUAUAUAUUUGUUAAGCUACACAUAUUUUUUUAUUAGAGUUCUUUUUUUGUGUGUGUAAAAAUAUAUGUGAUGUCCUGUCAUUCUAUGUUUUACACAUUAGCUAUGCGAGAGUGUCUGUGCUCAUAUUGUGUCUGAUGUCCAUGUCGAAUUUCAAGCUUCAAAAUAUCAACUAACUAACUUGUGAGUCAAAUUACCGAUUGGGGGUAAUUUUUUUUAAAAUUUAUCAUUUGAGGAUAGAUUUUAAAUUAAUAUUCGUUUAAGGUUUAUGAAUUGAAAGUCAUGAAAAUGAAAUUAAUAUUUCUUGAAACCAAUAUCUAUUUAGUGUGGACAAUGGACAUCAAGACAUCAUAUGCAACACCAUCCUUGACUCUGUUGAAAAUUAAAAUCCCAGAAAAACACAUUUUUUAGCUCCCAUGUUAAAUUUGGAGCGAUGUUUUAUGUUUGAAGACACAAAGCACAAUGGUCCAAAUACUCUCGAACUUUCCAAGUUGGGUUGAGCUCCAAGUCAUGAAGAACCUGAUAAGACGUCUUCAUUCUUAAAGUUAAUCUUCAACUAUUGGGUCUGCAAUACUUUCAAUUUUAGUCUUCUACAUCAUGUCCUGUCCUGCCAACACUUCCUAAAGAUAUCAUCGAUCAAGCUAACUAUCAUUGGACCAAUCGUUAUUGUUUGCCUUUUGUUUUGCAAGAAGCUCAGAAGAAAGAAAAAAAAAAGAGAGAGAGAGAGAGACAAAAGAAGAUUUGACAGAAAACUCAUUGGAAUUUCUCCUUUUAUUCCCGCAAAAGUUUCGUGACUCAUUAUAGAGAGUACUUACAUUAUUAUUUUACAGUGAACAAAAGGCAAGCUAAAGCCUUUGUUUUCUUAUUCAUUAUUAUUAUUAUUAUUUAUUGGUUGCUAGCACUAUUGCCAAAAAGACAAAAGUGGGGUAGCACAUACAAAAAGGGCUCUAAGCCACAGCUCUCUUCUGAGACUCCUGAGGUGGAACCAGGAACUUGAAAGGGUUGUUGUUCUUUAUCUGCCUGGCCUGCUGGCUUUUUAGGUUGAAAGUGUGCUGAAUCACUUCCUCUGGUAAUGCGUUCAACAAUGAGUUUGCCCCUGCAAGAGUGCCGAUCAUGGGUGUAUCAUUGGUCUUGAAUGACACAUACUCGAAGUUGUCACUCUGUGAUCUUGCAGCCACCACAAAGUUUUGUGGCACGAUCAGCACCCGUCCCUCUUGCAGCUCUCCAUCAAACACUCUCUCACCGUUGCAAUUCACCACUUGUAUCAAUGCCCGUCCAUUCAAUGCGUAUAUUAUGCUGUUCGCGUUCAGGUUGUAGUGUGGCACGAACAUUGCAUUCUGCAUCGUACAUCAAUGCAUGCAAGAGUCACAACAAAUUCAUCCAAUAUUUUUAUAAUAAUACUAUUUUUUGUUUUGCUUUUUUCAUCAAUCUUUUCUUUUUUUUUCUCUCUAUUUCUAUAUAUAAAGACAGAAAAGAUAGAAUCCAUGCAAGUGUUAAGAUAACUCCGUCACACAUUUUAUAGUGUAUCUAAGAUUAUUAUUAAUCAAUAAAUCAUUAGUCUAAGUAUAAAUAAUGUAAUUAAGAUGAAAGACUCCAUUAAAAGUGAUCAAACAAAUUUUCUAAAAAAAUUAAUUAUCAAUAAAAUUAAUAAAUAUUUGGCAACAAAUAUUAGUUUAAUGUAUAAAUGUAUGUUGAUCUUUGAUGAAUGAUGUACGUACCUUGCGGAGAGAUCCAAACUCAGCACUGAGUCUGAGCCACGAGAGGGCUGGGAAGUCAAGGCUGGUGGCGGUUGUGACGCUACCGGCUUGAGGGUUGUAGAUGUCAGGUGAUGAAGUCUGGCCAAUGUUGUGGCGAAGUCUCAUGGUGCAUAUGGUCUCGUCAAUGCCAUUUCUUCUGCUUUUGCUUUGGCUUCCUCGGGGGCGUUGGCAGUGUUUGUCUUUACCCUUGCACUGUGGCUUCUCAUCCUCUUCUUCUUCUUCCUCUUCCUGGGGUCUUUGUUGCUGCUCGUCCGUGGGUGGUUUUAUCACGCUCAGACCUCCUUUCACUGUCACAAUGGCUCCCUUGUCUUCCCCUUCGUUCUCUCCUUGUAGGUUUUUCGCUAUCUGCUUGUCCACGCUGAAUGCAUGUUCCAAGAAUUCCAGGGUGAAGCCACUCAAUAUGCUGCCUCCUUCGUUUUCUUCUUCUUGCUGAUGCUUUCCUUUCUGGCUUUGAUGACCUCCUUGCUCUUGCUGAUAUUUUAGAAACUCUUGCUCUUGGUUCCCAGCAAGAUAGAAUCUCUGCCAAGAAUUGUCAAAACAAAUAGUUGUCAAUCUGUAACCAGCUAGUAUUAGAACUUAAGAAUUCUAAUCUUAACGUUACAAUGUAGUCCAGUUUCCUUUUUUUAUCAGCUACAAUAUUGUCCAUUUAUUUCAAGACAAGAACCAAAUUGGAUAAAAAAACACAACUAUAAGGAUUCAAUUGGCAUAUUUUAAUCUAUAGGUACUAAAUUAGAAAGUGCAACUCCACGAACUAAAAUGAUAUUUAAACCUUUAAAGAAUUAUAAUAUCUAAUAUUGCUAUGUGGCUCACCCUAGGCAUCUGGUCGAGCUGGUUCUCCAAGCUGUUGGUGUCAAUAAUAGAAACGGCAACAACAGGAGUGUCUUCAUUGUUGUACAUCCACCAUGCAACACCAGUAGGCACUGCGAUCAAAUCACCCUCUCUGAAGUUAUAGAUCUUCUGGUGACGGUCUUGUGGUCUGCUGCUUUGUCCUCUUUGUUGAGGUUGUUGAGGCUCUUCAAAUGUGCUAGGACAACCCGGGUAUAUCAUGCCAAAAAUACCCUUACCUAUUCAUAUUACAAAACAACAAACAAACAAAAAUUAGGAACCCAACAUUAUCAAUGAUAUGAUUAUGUUACGUCAUAUGGAAGAAAUCAAAACAAAAAUUUUAAUAUAUAAAAACUCAAAACAAAAAAAAUUAUUAAAAAUCUAAAAUAAAAUUCCCUCAUUUAUCAAACCCUUAAACAUAUUUAAGUCUAUUAUAUAUUUAUAUGUGAAGUUUGGACAAGAUGGACCUUGUUGGAUGUAGAUUUCCUGGGGACCGUUGGUGUAGGAAGGUCUACGAAGGGCGUUGCGGUUGAGGGUGCAGCGAGAGAGGGCAACACCGGCACACUGGAAUGGCUUGUUGUUAGGGUUCCAUGUCUCAAUGAGCCCUCCUUCUGACUCUAUACGGUUAUCCGGUUUGAGGGCAUUGAGUUUUUGGAUCUGGCACUCGUUUUGCUGAGGCUGCUCUCUGGAACUGAAAGCGAAGCAGCAGCCACUGAAAAGCAGAAAACAAAGGGAAAAAACUAGCUUGGCCAUGGUGAUGACUGAUGAGUGUUUAAGGACCAAUGGAGAGAAUGUUUGAGUUGUGAAGCGGAGAACCUGAGGCGUGGUUAUUUAUAGGGAAGAGAGGAAGGUGAAUGAGGGACACGUCACAGAAGUAGGGUGCUGAGCUUGAGACAUUCUUCAGUAUGCAUGGCUAUGGAAGCCUUGGGUGCUACACCUCAUGAAGUUCAUGGUGUGAGGUGGCUUCGGCAUCUCAAUUAAGUGACAAAGAGAAAGGUGUUUCAGUGUUUCUAUUGCAAAUGGCAGAAACUCGUGAUGACGAGGGGACCAUGCAUGGUUUCAUUUCUUUUCUUCCUGGAUUCUUUCUUUCCUUUUAUAUAUGCAGGUUCAUAAUUUAAAAAUUAGACUCGCUUUCAAUUUCUUAAUUUCUCAUUUUCCUCUUAUAUUACUGUACUAAUGUUAACCACGUACACUUAUUUUUUUUUUAGUUUAAUUUUGAUAGAUUGUGUUGAUUUAAACAUAUUAAUAUUUUCAACCAAAUAAAAAUCAUUUUAGUAGAUACGGCUUUUUAAAUAAUUAUUAAAAAUAUUAACUAUUUAUCCUAAAUGGCACAUUUUAAUUAAAAAAAAUCCGGUGUUGUAAGUGUUUUAUUAAUUUGUUUUGGCAUUAUUAAAGCAACUUUUUUUUUAUUUGUUGGCAUUUUGAGUACGUACUUAGGCUACCUCCUAUAUGAAAGUGAUUGAGUUGUUUUUGCUUAUUAAAUGCCAUGCUUAAUAAGAACCUUUUAUGAAAGUUUGUGGUUAUUUUGAUUAAAUUAUAUCACAAUAAUAUUUAUAAAACAGAUAAAAGUUAAUGUCGAUGAAUGUAAGAGUGUCAAGUUACUUGUGGAGUCUAUUUAAUAAAAUUUUAAAGUUGUUGGUUUUGGUGAUAAAAGUUACAUAAUGUAAAAGGUAAGAAAUAAGUUAUAUAUAUAAAGGGUGAGACUACUUAAGAUGUGAAAAAGGUUGAGAGAAAAAAAAUAGAUGUUGAGUUGGAAAAGCUCAUGAUUUACUUCUUUGAAAAUAGAAAAAUAUAUAAAUAAUUAUAAUCGGAUUGAUGAUUAUUUAAAUAAAAUCUAAAAAUUGUGUUUGUGUUUUAUAAGAGAGAAUUCAAAUCCUCAAAGUACUUAUAAGCAUACAGCUACUUUUUCUUUCCUGUCAAUACUUUUUUUUUCUAUUCUUCUGUUUUUUAGUUCUUAUAUAUUAGUUUCUUCUCUCUAUAAAAUAAGGUGGAACUAGAUUGAUGUUUUUUCUAAAUCCCUAAACUUUUUUUCUUUCCUAUUUUGACGAGGUUUGUAAUUUUUGAAUAAUUUCCUUGUUACCAUUUUAUUUAAAGUUUUUGGCUGACAUUUUUCCUUUUAAAACUUGAAGCUUGUGUUGUUGAACCACUUUUAAAAAGAAGAAAAAUUAAUUACAGGUUUUAAGUGUUGUUUGUAUUGUUCUCCAAUUAAAAUUGGAGUUUAAUUUAAUCUACAUAUUUUUUUUUAGUACAAAUCUUGAGAUAAAUUUCAAUUCUAAUAACAGAACAUGACAAACAGCAUGUUAAGAACUAUAUUUAAAUUUUGUCCAAUCAAAAAACCCUUUUCUUGCUUAAUGAUGGAGCUAUAUAUUGUUCUACAUAUUUCAAGUUUCUUAUUCCAUUAUAGUACUACAUUGUUUAUUGAGAGAAGAAAUAUAUAGCACUAUAUAUAUUGUUAACUAAUUAUGAGCUAAAUUUUAAAAAGUGUAGAAUAUAUAACUUGUAGUCACCCUUGCGUGGUUCAAUCUUCAUCACUCCAUGCUCUGCAACUUGAAUCAAGAAACUGGUGAUUGGUGAAUGUUCAUCACUCUAAGCCCAAUCUGACAAACCUAGCUACGUGAUAAACUCACUCCAGCACGUGCUAAGGGAAGGAAGGUACUAUCCACAUUUGCAAGGUAACCUCUAAUGUGGACCCUGCAACUGAGUUUUGUACAUUUAGGACUCGCAGAGCCGGGGUACUUGGUCAGAUAAAAUGUGAGAGUAGUUCUCCAACAGCUGCACAAAGUAAAUUAUUGCUUGCUAUGCAACUUGUAGAUUUACUUGCUAUGCAACUUGUAGAUACAAUGCAGUAAUAUUACGAUAAGAACAAGGCCAAAAUGACAAAUAAUACUCCAAUCAGUUAAUAAUGUGAAGAACGUUACCUUUUUCAGAGUCCAAUGCAUCAUCAAUAUCACCAACCAACACAGAUGCAGAUCCCACAUGAGCAUGGCUGCAUGGCUCCUGCAUGCAUCAUACCACCUGUCACUUAGAAUGCAGCAUCGUGACAGUUGAACCCACCGUUACCCAUGCAACUACUUGGAUAGCAAACAAAAUUAAUUCUACCUUAUAAAAUCAUGGUCAAACAAUGAAAAAGUAGAAGCAAUCAUUUGUUGCUUCACCUUCACCAUGAAUAUAUUCAAAACACCCUAUUAAUUCCCCCUUGACCAUUAUUCCCAACGGAUUCAGUUAUGUGUAGGAGUUAGCUUGUAAGUUGUAACUAGAAAUGUACGUGUAAACCAUCUUGUAUAUAUGCCAUACCAGUACUGAUUUCAACUGACUGAAUGAAUAUACAACUUUUCUCUCCAAAUUUGUUAAUCAUAUUCACCUAAUAUGAGAAGAGGAGAGGGCUUGUGAGGAGCCCCAUUCAGAACUUGCACACGUAACUCCUAGUUGAAAUUUUAAAGUGAAAAUGCUAUCCAAUGAGAGAGUUUUAUAUGUUCUUUUAUUGAAUGCAAAUAAUAUCUGAAGAUGAAUGGGAUCCUUCACUAUAAUUGUACAUCAAUCUGUAUUGAAAACAUGGAAACAACACACAAUAAACUAAUAAAGUGUCCAAAAUGCACAACUACUGUGUCAAAGUAUGCUAAACUCUGUAUCUAUCCCAUCAAUAUUUUAAACCUAUAUUUCAGCUUUGCAACAUCAUAAUAGCAAUUCAAAUUUCCUCCCCUAAACACAAUUUUCAUUUUCAUCACACUCAGAAGGUCUUCACCAAAAAAGGACUCUGCUUCUACAUUCAUUUGUCAAUAUAUACAAGAAAUUCUUACGUGCUUCCAAAGCUAGAAUUUUCUCUUGAUUUAUACUAUUGAAUGUGUAUCACAUCAACAAGGUGGCCAUCACUAUCUGAGUCAAAUGCAUUAGUAGUGCUAUAUCUGAUGUGGUACACGUUUAUAUUAGAAAUACAGAGUAAGCGAUUUUCCUGGCACUUGUAGCACCUGAGAAUUUCUCUAGUCAAAAUAAGAGCAAACUGGAUAUAACUGAUUUUUCUUCAGAUCCAGCCUUUCCCUAUUUAAAUUGUUCAUGGUUUCUCUUGAGCUCAUCAGAGCUAGAAAUCAGAUUUUUGGAUGCAAUGGAUUUCAUCACCCAAUAACAACAUAAAAUUGAUCAAUUAAACCAUUAUAAGAGCCAUGAUUCUUGAAUUUCUGAUACGAAACGCUACACUACAUACUACUGCUAAGGAACUAAGAAGGAAACUAAUGGAGAUAAUUGUUCUGAUUGAUUCUUCAUUCCACUUUAUUUACAUAUUUAUACUAAUAUGCUAAUAGAAUGCAAUUUGUUGUAACAGAAUUAUCACCAUCAACGAUUCUUCAUUCCACUUUAUUUACAUAUUUAUACUAAUAUGCUAAUAGAAUGCAAUUUGUUGUAACAGAAUUAUCACCAUCAACAAACUAGUGGAAUGUUGUAACUAAUUAAUGAAGAUUUCUGCAACCAUUUAGUGCCUUUGUGCAUUUUGGCGCUCAAACGAAGUCCUGUAGGUAAGUGGCUUCUGUAUUGUGACCUGUGUGGUAUUCUACUGAAUUGCUAUCAAUUUCAAUCAUACCAACCAACGUAGCAUGUGAGACGUAAAGUGUAUAUGUUUGGUUUUUUCUCUUGCCCCCAUAAGAAUUUAGAUAUAGGAUUAAUUGUUAACAAUAAAUUUGCAGUUCACUUGUGCACAUGCUGCUUCAUUAUAGGUAGCGCUAAACCUCAAGUUUCAGGUAAAAAACGUGACAUGCAAUCCUCCUUUACAACAAGCAAGUGACAAAACACAAACUAAACAAACAAAGUAGUCAUUUCUAUAUAACUUACAAAACAAAACAUUAUUAUCAUAAAUAAAACUCAAACAAGAGUCCGAUUUUCUAAUCUGUACUCCAAUGUGCGCGAUUAGUUGUCUCCACACUCUAUGCACUAACAACAGUACUAACUUCAUCCCCUUCUCGCAUUAAUAAUAUAAGGAAGCGGAUCAAAAUGUGGGAACCACUUAAUAUUAUGAGAAACUAGCAUGAUCUCACAAGGAUGUUAUCACAAUCCUCGGGAUGGAAACUCCUGCCAAUUACACAUUUGGGCAAUGUAAAUCACCCGCAUAGAAGGACUAUAGCUUAUUACAAGAUAUGAACAAAGACAAGAUAAAAUGCGAAUUAGAAGAUACAUAUGCCAACUAUGCUUUGCUCAUUCGGUAUCUCGCUUGAAACUAGAUUCAGCAUUCUUCUCCUUCGUGCCAUCAUCUACUAUUUUAGUUUCAGCAAGACCAUCCACUAUUUUAGUUUCAGCAAGAUCAUCUCUCUCGCCCUCAGUUGCAUUGACUUCAAGAGUGUUAGACUUUUGGGGAAGCUUUCGAUCCAGAUUCUGAGCAGCUUCAGAUUCUUCAUUUUCGGGUACUUCAUUGGGGUUUUGAACAGCUUUGGCAUCAUGCUUGUCAGUGUCAGCAUUUUGAGGUUGUUGUGCCCCAGAACUUUGAGCAGCAUCUAACUCCUCAUAUUUAGAAACAAUCUGCUGCAGCUCGUCAUUGAGAUAUAAAGCCUCAAAAAGUGUUGCUUCAUCGUUUGUAGUGCUUUCCACUAUCCCCUUGAUGAUAGAGAGAGAUUGCUUGCACUUAUCCAACAAGCUCACGGUUAAAUCUUCCUACAGCCACACAAAAUUAUUGCAAAUUCCAUCAUCAAACAACUAUUCUGUCAGCAAUAUAGAGAAGAAAAUAAAGGGCAAAUACUUCUUCUAUAAACACUUACAAGAAAAGAAACUACAAAACAGAGUAGAUGAACCUUCUGCCAUAAGUUAAAAUCAACUUAUGCAUCUCAACUUUUGGAUAAGUUAAAUGAGAAUUUAUUCUACAGAAGUUGGAACGCAAAAGUUGAUUUUAACUUGUCAGAGAAGUUUAAUAUAUCUUAACUUUUUAUUUUCUUCUUCUCCUACAAGUACUUAUUGAAAAGUCUGUCCGAACAAGGCCAUAUAUAGCAAUUAUCUAACAGUAGUAGAUGGAAAGCAUGGGGAAAAAAAAAAAGAGGAAAAAGAAAGACUGGAUGCAUACAAAAAAACAUCAUGAUGAAGUAGUAUACAAAACACCAAUUUAUUAUUCGGGUAAUGUUGAUUUUCUCUAACAUCAAGAUGUUUACCUUCAAAGUUUUAGGCUCUGCAUCAGAAUUCAAUAUGCUAGAGAGCAAUUCGAGACUGUUUCGAGCAACCACAAGAUGCUCUUUCCUCUCUUCAACUGAUAUGUGUUGGUAAUUAGAAGAGAAAGCUGCUGGAUCAUCAAUAUCAUGUAGUUCAGCUUGAGGAAUUGGGUAUCUUUCAGGGGCAUCUACAUAUGACUCUGAGGCAUACGGAACAUGUGGUGAAUUUCCUCCCGCCAUGUCAACCGGUUCAUCCCUUCCUUUCAAACUCUGCCAUCAAAAAGAUAGGAUGAAGGAUUCAAAUAAAUGUGAAAGAGAAGGAUGCAAGAGAAUCUAUCACAGUAAAAUGUAGAAAUAGAAGGCAUUGCAUAAAGUGCAGAAAAUAAGUGAGAACAUGAAGCCCAAUACAAUUACAUUUCAAAAUCAAUAUUCUGUACAAGAUAAAAAUCCCCAGCGUCACCUGAGAAAUGAGUAUACCCCAUUUUAAUCAAUACUCCCUGAAUAUGCUGGGCGUAUUUAUAGCAGUCCCUGAAUUAGAAAAAUAUCAAAUAAAUUCCUAAAAUUUAAAAAAUUUAUUCGACAUUUAUCUAAUUUCAAGGACUAGUACGAUAGUGUCUCACAAAUUCAGGUACUAAAAUAGGAUUUACUAUGGGAGAAAGCUUCUUCUUUUUUUUUUUUUUUUGUCCAGACCACAGGUAUCAAGACAAGAGUAACAAACAAGUAAUCCAGUUAUGGCAAUAUCCUCAAUCAGUAAAAAUAAAUAAAUAAACAGACCAUAUAAGUUUGACGAAAGACGGGAAGAUAAGCGAGAUCCUCGGACUCGCCCCAGGCCCGAAUCAACUGAAAAGCCCGGCUGCGGGUCUGGUGAUGGGCCUGCGGGUUAUCGAUGAGGCGAAUGAUCUCAUCGAGAACCUUCUCGGAAGCGAUUUCGGAGAAGACCUUGUCGCAAUUCAUGGCGCAGGCUUCGAGGAGGUCAAGGCUGAGGGUCUGAACGACGGGGCUCUUGUGAUUGAUCUUUCUCUUGAUGGCCUUAACGACCUCAGAGCCGUUGAACUGGUCGCUGUUGAUCAUGCCACAGAUUCUGAGAUUCAUGCCCCAAUUGGGUUCUUCCAUGGUCUCCAGCGUGGCCUCGUCCACCAUCUUGGACUCCGGCGUCGGCGCCUGAAGCAUCUCCUUCACUUUUCCGCUCACCAUUCGCCCCAUCUGGGCCCCACCGGUCUUCAGCCUCUCACCCAGUUGCGCCCACUUCAACCGCUCCAUCGUGUAAGGAACCCUAACUAGAUCGGGUGAAAUGUGAGGAAAGUAAAAAGCUGAGCUUUGAAGAUUAUAAAGUGAACAAGUGACGAGAGACAAGAGGGGUGUGUGUGGUGGUGUCAAUAUACUGAUCAAUUGCUUGUGACACGUUUUUUUUAUUUUAAAAAAAAAAAAAUCAAUGCCGUAGACUGGGAUUUGUUUGUGGGUGGGAUUUAAUUAAUGAUAAUAAAUUAUGCAUUUAACUCAUUUUCACGUCUUUUUCUGUCUCGCCCUAAAUAUUUUAAUCAUGAGUUGAAUUUGUCACGGUUUCAACUUAAAAAUUUUCACGUCGAAUCUAACCAAUACAAAGAUUGUGUUAGGUGUCUUCUUAAGAAGAUAUUUUUGACAAAUUGAUGUAGGGAUUAAUAUUUUAUUUAUAUAUAUAUGUCUGAUUUUUAUGUAAUCUUCUUAUAUAAGCAAGACUUAUUUUAAAAAAUAUAGGUAUUUUUGUAUUAAAUGAUUUGUCUUUUGACAUAUAAUAAAUAAAAAUUCUAAAAUAAGUUAAUAUAAUAAAGAAAUUGAGUUAUUAUGUAAUAAAAUAUGUAUUGAUGUUAGAAAUGGGACUCUUAUUAUUAUUUAAGUUUAUUUAAUUUUUUUUUAUAAAUGACUAUAAAUUAUCAAAACAGAUUUAUAAGUUUUCAAUUAUUCAUCACAUGUCCAAAAUAUUUUAUCAAAGAAAAUAUAAAUAAAAUCAAUUUAAUAUAAUGAAAUUGAUAAAUCAUUGAUCAAUUAAGUUAAAUGAACUUAAUUUUUUUAUAGCAACUUUACAUCAUUAAUAUAUGCAAUAACAUAAUGUAUAAUUAAUACAGGAUAUUAUAUAUAUGUAAAAAAAUACGUGAUGAAUUAUAUUUUGAAGUUUAAAAAAAUGAAAUUUUUUGUUGUAAUAUGUUUUUGAUAUGAAAAAUAUCUGAUUAAUUUAAAAUAAUAAAUCAUUAUUAAAGAGUACACAUAUAAAAAAUAAUAUACUAAUAAAUAUCAAAAAAGUAGAUAAGCAAUUCAUAAUAGAAAAUAGAAAAAAUAACUUCCCUUAAAUUUGAAAGACUUUUCGAUAAAUAACAUAUCAAGUCAUAUUUAAAUUAUCUCAGUUAUUAAUAAAAAUAUUUCGGUUAAUAGGUUUUCAUUAAAAAAGAUAUGAAAUAUUUUAUUAUUAACAAAAGUAUUUUCAUUAAUAGGUUUUCAUUGAUAUAUCUUCAUUACCAAAAUAAUUUUUUGUCAAUCAUAUUUUUAGGUUAAAAUAUAUUUUCCGUCUCUAUAAAUAUCAAAAAAUCCAAAAUUCAUCCCUAUAAAAUUGAAAUGUGUGUCUUUUUUUGGUUUGGAAUUAAGCUUUGGUGAAUAUGAGCCUACAUGGUUUAAAACUUAAAUUAUAAGCUAAAAUAUAUUUUUCAUCCCUAUAAAUAUCAAAAGGUUCAAAUCCAUCUUUAUAAAAUUUUGAGUCUUUUUUUCAUCCUUGAAAAAUUGAAAUUUAUUAUUUUUGGUCGGAAGUAGGUUCAGAUUUACUCAGUUUGAUCGACGACAGUGAUUUAUGGGGGUUAAAAUCACCACAAAAUGUAAAAAGAAAAACCCACACAUUUGUAAAUCUCUCCUCCCUAACUUUCUUCAUCUUCUUUGUCCACCAAGCUAAUAUGAGAGAGAUGAAUUUGAGAGUUUGUUGACAAUGUUUGAUUAUGAUAGAACACUUGAAUUGAUAUUUAUAGUGUUAAGUUCGAGAAUGAAGGUGUUAGGCUUUUGGAAGGAAGAAAAAUUUAAAAAAAUUAUUUAUUUAAAUUCGAAGAAGAUAAAGAAAGUUAGAGAAUAAUGAGUUUAAGAAAUAAAAACUUAUAAAUUUGUGUAAUUUUUUUUUUCUGGAUUUUGUGAUUAUUUUUAUUCCCAAAUUUCACUUUUUUGAGAACCAAAAAAAACUCAAUUUUACAAGAAUGAAUUCUAAACAUUUCAAUAUUUAUAAAGAUAAAAAAAUAUAUUUUAGCAUAUAAUUUAAGUUUUAAAAAAUUCUCAAAUUCGUCUUAGAUCCAGACCAAAAAAUAACAUAUUUAAAUUUUAUAAGGAUGAAAAAUAUAUCAUAAAAAUUACACGGAUUUCAAAUUUUCUAAUAUGUAUAAGAACGAAAAAUAUAUUUUAAUAUAUUUUUAUUAAUAUAAUAAUUUUAUUUUAUCAUUAUACUAUAAAGAUACAAUCAAAUUUGUUUAUUUAAACGUAUAUUAUCCAUUAAUACCAUGCCAUUUAUAAUUAUAUUUGUAUACUUAAAUUUUAAAUUUAUUAAUGAUUUUAAUUAUGGUGGAUUAAGACAAAACAUCAAAAAAUAAUUAAAAAAAUGUAAAACAAAAUAAAUACAACAUCCAAAACAAAUUUUCCAAAAAAAAAACAUAUAAAACGGAUUAAAAUCUAAAUAAUAUUAAUGAAUAAAAUAUAAUAUUUUACAGAUUCAUAUUACACACCACGUAAAACAUAAUAAAUUUUUUAAAAGAAUAAUCUUAUCUAAUAGACCCAAUAAUUUUUUAAAACAUGAAUAAAUAAAAGAAAAAGAACUAAUGUGUUAUUAACUACUGAUUGAUUGUAAUAUGAACUCAUUGAUCUUUUGCCAUUUGUGUGUUUAAUCAUGUGAUAAAAUAACAAAAAAAGAAUUAAUGAAAAAACUCAAAUGAAUGUAAAAAAAAAAAAACUUUGAACUUUUCUCCCUGCAAGUACGACACCGAAAACUUUGAAUUUUUCUCCCUAUUUGAACGCCUUUAUCACCUCCUCUUCCAUUUCUGUCUCUUGUAAUGAAUAAUUCACACCAAAACUCAAUGAACAUACCAUUGUUAAGUAUGAUCCUAUAAAAAACCAACAACAAACUCAAUUACCGAUAAAAGCACAUGUUUAAAUAGAAUAAGAAUAAUAUAAUAUUAGAAAUUAUUAUUCUCUAUUCAACUUCUAAAACGUGCAUAUUAGAAUAUAGAAAAUUACCUAAUUAUAUGAAUUAAGAGUGUAUUAAAUGUAUUUUAUGAAUUAAAACUGUUAAUUUUUAUUAUUGAUUAAAACUGCUAAUUAAUAUAUCAUUAAUGUAAAUAACUAAUUUCUCUAUUAAUGUGAAAUUACUCUUCUUUAAAAUAAAAAUAUUUUAUUUACUUUUUUUCCCAUACAAUUAUUAAUUUAACUCCCAUUUAUGAGACAAAAUAAUAUUUACAAAAAUGUCCCCAACUCACUUUCUUUUAUAUAUUAUAUAUAUAAAGAUAUGUAAAAAAAAUCUCAUCCUUCUCCUUUUAUAUAUAUAGAUGCUAACUUCUCAUUUUCAGACACAAUUUUUGAAUAUACUUUUUUAUCUAUUAAAGUCUAUUAAAAUAGUAUAUUUUUAUGAAUCUUAUUUUUUAUUUAACUUUUUUUUUUAAUUUUAUAAAUUUAAAUAAAUUUUUACACGUUAGAAAAAAUGUGUAAUGUUUUCAUAUACUAGUAAUCACAACGGAAAAUAACGCUUCAUUUCAUCAACGGAUAAAAGUUUUGUAGAAAUUGAUUUCCUUUGUAUACACUUAUGGUUUAAUUAUAUUUUUGGUUUUGAAAAUUAAGGGUGCAUUUAAUUUUAGUCUCUUAAAUUUAAAAACAAAUAUUUUGGUCUUUUAAAUUUAAAAAGUUACAAUUUUCAUCCCUCAAAGUUUAUUUUGGGUUUUGUUAUGUCCUAGUGUUAGGUAACUUGUUGUGAGCGAGAGGAUGAAGAUGAACGCAUUGGAUUCGAGGUCAAGGCACCUCCUGAAAUAAACUAAGUUCUACGCAAAUGCUUCUCUGAUUUUAUUCAUGUAUUCGAUAUCCUAUUUAUACACUGCCUUUUGUAACAGAUUAUAACAUAUCAGUAACAAACUUUGUAGGCCAAAAUCACACCAAGUCCUUCAAAUAGGUAGGGCGCGCAGUGUUUCUCUUGGGCCUUCCAGCAUGGGCUUCAGGUAAUGUGUUGAUCUCUUCUACGUUCCUGUUGCUGUUGCUGUUGCUGUUGCUGUUGCUAUCAUAACUCAGGUUUAAGAGGGAAGGUGUGUACCUGCAAAAGGCAUUCUAGUUUUCAACCCUGAAGUUGUAAGGUUUGCACUGGUAUAGUGCAGGCAUCAAAGAUGCAUAGAUGAGUGGUUAAAAGUUAAAACCCUUUAUUUGGCAAUGAGUGGUUGAUCCACUGUUUUACAGUUGUACACGUACUUGCUUUUUCUGUAUUUUUUAGCAAUUUAUUCCAACAUUAGCACUUAAAAUACCCUAGUUGUAACUUGUAAGCCUUUUCAUCUAUAGAUUGGUUUAAUGAUGUGAAACAGAGCUAUAAAGUUGAAGGAUGUCAACUUACAUAUAAAGAGCUAAGCGACUUCAUUUAUAAGACUGUCCUGCUGAGAAAGUUGACUUACUUGCACCGGAGUGAAGGAGACCAGGUGGCUUCUACUAGUAUUGGAAAAACAGAAACUCUUCUUGUUCGGAAAUUACCAAUUGCAGAUCCAAAGUAAUCAUACUCAUUGUGCAACAGUUCUUUGGAUUGUAGAAUUGUUAACUGCUAUUGUGAGUUGGCUGAUAUGGUCCAUUUUAUGCUUAGGAUGUGUCAUUCUCCUGAAAUGCAAUAUUUAUUCCUUGCUUUUCAUAUGAAAAAUCUUUAAACAGAUGCUUUUCUCAUCUUGAUUUCAUAUAUUACAUAAUAAUUGAAUCUAGAGUUUAUAACUGUUGAACUCAGAAAAUAAACACAUUGAAUUCUGAAUAAAUCAUAGAAUCUAUCUGUUUUUUUGGCCAAAUUUAAGUGCAAACAUCAACAAACACAAGGUUUCCCCCUAACAAGUAACAAGGAGUUUUCUCCUUCAAAACACCGUAAAUAACAAUUUGACACCUUAACCGCCACAUCCUAAAACAAAACUGCCAAUACAUAAUUGAAACCAACAUAACUGCCUAAUAACUGUCCUAAUGCAGAAUUAACACAAACACAGCUACCUAAUAACUGGCUGUCAAUUUUUUAUUGUAACAAAAGGAUUGAUUUGUGUUAGCAAGUUAGUAUAUUGAUAUCACAUAUAGAUUUGACUGUUUGUAAGUUACUAAAAGUCUCUCAUUUUGAGAAACUCCUACCAUGUCUUAGUUUGAGCACUAGUUUACUAUGAUUUAUCAGUUCUGAAGUUAAAAUUUAAAACAUAAGGUGGUUCUUGCCUAUGAUGAUUUAUAUUUUAAUCGUUGUAAAGCUCCAUUUGAGGCUUUUGGUCUUGCAGAUGUUACUUUUUUAAAAAAUAUAUAUGGUAGGUGGCACCAACAAUGUGAUAAACUUCAUGCUUAUGCCUGUGUUAUUUGUAGAUUUUUUUAAAAUAGGUUUUCUUUUUACAUUUUGUAAUCUGGUCGGUGAUAUGGUCUAUGGAUGGUAUAAUGAGUUCUGAUAAUCCUCCCCUUCCUCUCCCAAAAAAUGUUGUUGACUGACUAUCAGUUUGCAAAUUUAGAAAUCAUUGCUCACUUCUGUUUUUUAUUUUUAUUUUUAGACUUCCACUAAAAUUAGAGAGAUUUUGACUGACGAUUGAAUUUUUCAAAUGGUGUUCAUCAAUCAAUGCAAUCUCAAAUGCUGUGCAUGUUUCUUUGACAGGCAUGUUUUUGUAGGAGAUUUAGUGGUCUUGAAAAACCCUCUGAAGGCAGAUAACUAUCUUGUCAGGCAAUUAACUGUAUUGAAGGUUAUGAAAUGGUAUCAACUGAUGAAAAGGAUGAACCCUUUUUUUCUUGAGAAGGAUCAGUGUUGGGUAGAUGCUGAAAAUAAAAGUUUAAAACCCAAGGUAAGACUGCUCUAUUUUCCUGGUCUCUCUAUAUAUGGAGCAUAUCAAUUGGCAUUAGCAUUUUAUUGCAAGAGAGAAGCUAAUGCUGAUUAUUUAAGAAGUUUUAUAUAGUAAAAUAUCAUGACACCAAGCAAUAAGUUACCAUUGACGUACAAGUAUACAAGGUUACUUGUUGGAAAAUAAAACAACAGCUUUCUGUUUUUAAAAUAAUUAAAAUUAGGCAUGAUUUGGUAAUUUAAUGAUAUUGAAAACCUCUGGAAUUCCAAAUACUAAUGUUUUUCUUUCUCUCUUUUUAGUUUUCUUCCUUUGUCUCUUUAAUUAUAUUUUUUUUCUCUACUAAUAAGGAUAUUAAAUCUGUGUUACUUCUUUACCAAAAACUCUGUUAAACUCAUGGGGUUUUGUGCAUGUGUCGCUCUUACAUGAUUUAUAAAAGGACAACAUGGUGUCAUUUGAUCUAUGUAGCCAAUCCCCACCUAAUGAAAGAAACUUUUGCUGCUGUUGUUAUUUUGUUUCCUCAACAUCUAGCUGCUUUGAAAUUGUGUAGUAUCUGUAAGCUCUAAAGUCUAAGGUGAAUGUCUCCAUAAAGACUAGUCGAUUAUUUGGUCCAGUUAAUAUGACAGACAUUGUAGGCAGAGUCAUAUAUCGCCUGCGAACCUGUGUAGAGACCAUCACUGUGUACGGAACAGGUGAACUAAAUUAGUAAAUUUCUAUCUUAUUUCUUAUGUAAAAUGGUAUGUGGAAGGUUUUUUUUUUUCUUUAAAAAAAAUAUUGAUAUAAUUUACUCCUUUGCCAGUCAUUCCAGCAUGCUAAAGGAUUGGCCCGUGUUGGCAGUGGAACUUGAUGUUGAGGAGAUGUCAAAGAAUCACAAGGCCUAGGCCUGUUUGGUUUACAUUCCUGUCAACCCAAAUGGGAAAACGUGCUUCCCAUGAAUGCACUUUUCUAUCAAGUGAAUCACAACAUAUACUUAUGUCAAAACAAGCGAAUCUCCUGAUCAUCAUUAACUAGAUAGUUUUGUACGUAUCCCCUGUUUGAGGCAGAGCAAUAAUAGGAUGUUACUUUUUUGCAAGAGAAUGUGAUGGUGGUGUUAUCAGUUGUGUGAUUUCUUUAAUUUAUACAUAUUAGAUGUUUGACUUUUUCUUUAAAGCCCAAGGAUAAAUUGCUUGUUUGAUGUAUAAAUAGUAAUAGUAUAUUUUUCUAUAAUAUAUAUCGUUUUGUUAAGCUUAAUAUUUUAUCAAUAUCAAAUAAAAAAAAUUGUACUUCAUAUCUUAAAAGUAAAAAAGCAUGCGAUUCUUUACUUUUUUAAAUUUUGUAGUGUAUGCUUGGGAGAAUUUAUUUUCAACAAAUAAUGGCUUAUAUUUUGGUUUUUUUUAUUAUAAUAAGUUAUAUUAAACUUGGGAGUAUGAGAUAAAGUUGUGUAUGUAUAAAAAGUUGUCUUUGAAUAAGCGUUACUUUUAGUUGAACGUCAAUCUAGUAUAGGAUUCAGUUGAACGUGCAUUAGAAAGUGUCUUAAGUAAAACAAACACACUAGUGUGUGCUUAGAUUGUUGUGUGAGAGGUACCAAAUGUUCAUUUGUGCAUUUCAAUGCACAAAAGACAAGUAACAACUAACAAUACUAUUAGAUUAAAUGUGAGUUAUAUUCAACUGAAUGGUUAUUCAAACACACCUCAAGCGUCUGUUUGGAAUUAGAGACGAAUGGAUGUUUGCCAAAGGAGUCAUUUGUAUCUUUCUUCCAGCAGGUUUGGAGGUGUGUGAAUGGUUUUUAAAACAUGUUUUUAAAUCAUUUAUUGUUGACUAACUAAAAGAUAUUUCUGACUCAACCACUUAGGGAUUAUAGAUAUUUCAUUUGGUUUAAUUUUUUUUAGACUUAAUUGUCCUUAAAAUGGAAAAUUGAGUUAAUUAGAAUGUUUAAAAACUAUAAACUUUUAAAAAUGUAAUUUUUAAAAGAAUAUAUUUUAAAAAAAUGUUUUUGGAAAAGCCAGUUUCAAGAUUUUUUUUAUACUUUUAUUUCUCCCCUUAUUCGAAAACAUAAAAUCUAAAAGAAAAAUGACUGUAAUUUAACUACUUGAAAGGAUUAAAAUGAAUGUUCCACACUUUCACUCGUUUUUUUAGGCUUAAUGAUAAUAACAAAGAAAAAUAAAAGGUUCCUGCCCGAGCGAGAAUUUCAGUUGGUCCCUGAUGAAAAUAAUGAUUCCCGAGAAUGUCCCUUAUAUAUGACUAUGGGACACGACACGGGUAACUAGCAACAAGAAAAAACCUGCGACUGCUAGUGAGUGCAAAUUGAAGCAAAGGUUGCUGCAACCGCCGUUGAGUGAGGGCGGUUGGGUUACGAUGUUGCAAGCAAUGCAUCUGAUGAUGGCCAACACUUACAACGUUGCCGGUGAGCGUCUUUCUCUGUCACCUUCAUCCUUUGAACCAUACCAUAACCCUUCUUCACUCUCUUCUUUCAUUUUCCUCCACUCUAGCCUUUAGGUUUUUUUUUUUUCCUUAUGUUUCUUUUCAGUUUGCCUCCUAUGAUAGCUAGCUUUUGAGACAUGGAUCGUUUUCAGCUUCUUUUUCCGUCAUGAUUGAAAAAAAAUCAAACUGCUGUUCUGUAAAUAACCACUCUGCAAUUAAAUUGUGCCAUUUUACUGAAGCACUAGUAAUAUAUAUCCUGGAUCAUACUCUCUAUCCGCUACUGAGAUAAACUUGAAAUCAUGAUCAUUUGAAUUCCUAAAACAAUUGUGAUGUAUGUAUCAUUGCUCAAUUCAGAGAUUGAUUACUUAGUGCCUUAUCCUAGGUUUCUAUGAUGGAUUGUGUUGCUUUCUGUCAUACAUAAAUAAGGACAAAACUUAGAUGCAGUUCUACAAGUGUUUUUUGUUGAUGUUGUCCAAUUAGAAUUGGAGUUUCACUUCAGUAAUUCGGGUAUAAAAAGGUUUUCAAUAAAUGUCAAAUAGAUUACCAAGGUGGAACUCCAAUCCUGAUUGAAGAACAACAGCAAAAGUACUCAUGGAAUUGCAUCUAAGUUUUGUCCAAUAAAUAUGGCUAUAUGUUUAUUAUAUUUUUUCUGUUCAUUUUAUUUUACUUCUCUCUUUAUGGUUUUUGAAGUGGUUUUGGUCAUACCGUGGGAUGUGGAGUGGCAGAAGGUAGGUUUCUUCCAUGUUUGGGUGUUUCUGGAAGAACAGCUUCUGUGUUUUCUUGCUCCUCUCAGGGUUACCACAGAAUUCAUUCACAUGUCACAAUUAGAGGGCUAAAGUGUUCUUCUAGGGGUGCAUGUGCAUCUUUUGUGUGUGAAGCGAGGAGGAACCCUGAAUCUUUCUCUAGGCAAAACAAGCAUGGAUUUUCCAGAAGCAGGAAGUGGCUCAAUGUAGACAGAGACAGCUUUGAGAACAUUGAAAAAGACAUGUUAUCAUUGAAAAAUGGUUCAUUGGUAUCUCAUUCUAGCACACUAAAAAACCAUGCCAAUGCCAAUGCUGCCCCUAGGCCUAAAGAGAAGGAGAUUAUUACACUGUUUAAGAAGGUUCAGGCUCGGCUAAGAGAGAGAGCUACUACUAUUAAGGAAAUAAAGAAAGUUGAAGCAUCCCAAGCACAGUCUAAAUAGAAUGGUUCUGUUAAUUCUCUCCUCAAGCUACUGAGGAAACACUCAGUUGAGCAAGUAAAGAGAAGUAGUGGUGUUAACAGAGGGGAAAACGAUAGUUUGGACUGGUUGCAAGAUUGUGGUCAAGACAAUGAAAGUCAAAGCACAAAAUUUCCUGAUUUAAAUGGUACUCCUAAUAAUGAGUCUCAAGAAACUAACAUUUCAUUAGUUAUCAGGCCUCCAUCUAAUUUCCAACGACGGUCUUCUUUUUUUCGGUUAAAGUAUCAACCUGUCUCUAACGACGAUAAGGAUGUGAAUGCAGUCCCCUGAGUAAUGUGGUUACAGAGAAAGAUCAGGAUCAAAUCGGCAUCAAGCUUGAUCCUGAGCCAGAGCAUGACUCUGAACUGGAACUUGAUCCAAAGGAUAAGCCCUUGUUCCCCGAAGUGGGGAUUGCGAUUUCACAUGAUGAUGAUUAUCUUGAUUCUGAACAAAUAUAUAAUGAUGAACAUGGGGAGGACCAACAAGUGGAACAACAUGAGGAUUUGAGUACAAUGAAGCUGUCUGAACUAAUGGCACUUGCGAAGUCUCGUGGCCUCAAAGGGUUUUCAAUAAUGAAGAAGAGUGAGCUCAUGGAGUUGCUAACUGGAAGCUGAUUUGGACCAUAAGUUAGAGAAGCAAAAUCAAGGAACAACAGAUUUUACCAAUAUCUGUUUUUUACCUGUGAAUUUAUCUGGUUUAUUUUUUCAUCGUUUUUAAUUUAAUUCCUUCAAAUACUUGAGGGUUUGUGGAUCAUUAAAUAGAAUAACCAUGCUAUUAUUCAGGCCUCGGAGGAUUUUGAAUUUGUAACUGUAUUCCCACGAUGAGAUUUUUGAAUUUUUUUUUACUGAUUAAAAGUACACCAUUUCAGUAUGAUAAUGCUUCGGGACUAUUAAUCAUUGUUAACCGUAUUGUAUAGCUAUAAUCCUUAUCAGGCCAUUGUUAACCAUUUUGUUUACAUAUCCAGCAAAAAUAAAUAAAUAAAUAAAUGUAGUAAUACUUUUUUUUUUAUCAAUUUUUAUUUUUUGAAAAUAAUUAUAUUCCUUAAACAAAAACGAACAUUGGAUCUGAAAGCUAUAUAGCUUAGCAAAACAGGACCGAACGGACUACAUGGGUAGCAAAAUAUUUAUGACAAAAGGGAUCUAUAUAUGCUAUUCAUAAUCCCUUUUUGCUCUUCACACUCUCCAUUUUCUAUUUUUUGUUUUUUGAUAUUCCUAAAAUAUCACUAUUCCCUCUCACUUUCCUACCCUCACUUUUCAUAUAUAUUACAGAAAUUAGUCUCUCUAAUAUAGUUAUGUUUUAAUAAAUUAUUAUAUUACGAAAAUUAAUUUCCAUAAAAUGUUUUUUGUCAAUUUUUUUAACAGAAAAAUAGGUAGGCAACACAAAAAGCAAAAAAGUGGGGUGUAAAUGACACAAACCCAACAAACAAGGCCGAAACUAUUUCUGAGUAGUUUAUUUUAACAAAGCUCUCUUUUCCCCUGCAUCCCAAAAAUCUCAACCUACAUCCCUUUUCACCCCCUCAUAGUGGAAAGAUUAAUUGGAAUGAAGGUUUUACAUUUCAAAUUACCUAAAAGAUUGUUAGGGUGAAAGAAAAAUAAAUUAGAAAAGCUCACUUACAAAAAAGAUGAUUAAUUAAAAUUAGGAGCUCAUAGUUUUAACUUCCCACUUUGUUUUCCUUCGUUUAAAAAAAGUUGUCCUUCAUCGCCAAAAAAAAAAGAUGUUUUCCUUCUUUUAGGAGACAACAUCACGUUUGGCUUGCCUGCAUAGUGCUUAUGCUUGCUUCCAAUAUAAACAUUUUCCUUAUCACCACUUAAUAUAGCAGUCACCAAGUGCCGCUAAAUAGAAAAGGGAAUAGAAUAUUCACAAUUCACAUGCAAGGGGUCCCCAAUUUGAAAGUUUAGCCGAAGAAGCUUGUGAGUUGGUGGCCGCUGAUUCAGUAACUUGGACAUUAAUUUCUUUAGUUUUUAAUGUGUGUUGUUUUAUCAAAUUUAAUCACUCACAUGGGGGAAGGAAGAGAUGGGGAAACAAAAUCCCUCUAUUAUGCAAACCAUGACGUAUACGGCAAACAAGAUAAGCAAUAGUUAAUAUGUAAUCCAAUCUAAGGCGAGCAAGGAAGAUCUCAUUUGUUUAGCUUGAUACCGAUUGACUUUGAGCUUUUUGAGGGAUAAUGAGGGGAUACAAUUUUAACCCAAAAAAGAAGGGUAUAGCAAAAGCAAAAGAAAAUACGUAUCACACAUCUUUAAAAAUCACAUCUCGUAUCUAGAGUAGGUGGUUCAAUCAAAACGUAAUUAUGUAAAAAUCACGAAGAAAAUGUAUUGAUAACUUUGAGUGUUUUUUUCUCUUAGUCAACACUCUUGCUUAUUGAAAAAAAUAAAGGCUUAUAAAUUAUAGGAGGGGUUGAAAUCUCAUGUCGUCUAAUUCUUUUUUUAUUUUUAUCAACAAAUAAAAAAUAUAUAGAUGUAUAGGAUAUAAAGGGUGUCCAAAACCCAAGCGAGAAUGACCAAUAUCUGAAUCACAUAACACUUUAACAUUAUUUAUUGGAUAGCGAGAAUAAUCAAUAUCUGAAUCACAUGAUAUUUCAACAUUGUUUAUUGGAUAAUAAAAUGAUUACCACAUCAGUUUAGUAUAAUGAUACAGUUAAAAUAUUUUUUUUAUUGGUAAAUAUUAAUUUUUAUUAUAAUACUAAUAGAAGAUUUAAACUUAUAACUUCUCUUUAUUCUUCUUGCUUCAACCCUUAAACCUUUCUUCAUAAUCAUCAAAUCAAUCUUAUAACUUUUAUAUGACUAAAAUAAAGUAUAACUGAAGCGCAAACCUUACCUUAUAAGCCAAUUUUAUAAGGUUUUACAAUCAUAACUCAUAAUUCUAAUAUAGUAUUAGAGUCUAUUCUAAUGAGUAUCAUUAGACAUUCUAUGUUACUUGCUAUCGAACUACUAUUAGACCUGUAUAAGUCUAGUUUAACAAAUUUUAUGAUUGACAUGUCUAAUUCUCGAUAAGAGAAAUUGUGUUGGAAAUCAUACAUCAAUAAUGAUGAGACAAAAAAUAAUAUAUAUACAUGAGUCAGAUGUCUAGUUACUCAUUAAAUAAUUAGUGGAUUAAGUGUUCAUUUAACUAUGAGUUAUAUGUUUUUAAAAUUAAAAAAUUUAAAAAUAGUUUGUGUGUGCUAAGGAAAAUAAUUUUAUCAUUAAUAAUAAUUCUAUUCAAUUGAAAGAGUGUUUAUCGUGAAAAAUAUAUGUAUUCUUAAAAAAAAAAUGUAAGAAUGAUAUAAAAUCCAAUAUAUAAAGUACAUUAUAAUUCUUCCAAGAGUAUGGACUUUGGUGUGACUUUAUGAGGAUGAUAUAACAAAAUAACAAAUAGAUAAAGCUGCUGUACAUCAAUGGUUAUAAUGAAAGGAAUGAUUAUUUACAGCUAUGGGUAAGAUAUACGAAAGAAAAAAGGAAGUCUACGAUUAUUACAGCUAUGACAAUAAAUAAAGCUCGUAAAAACAAAACAAAAGUCCAAGAAUAACCAACGGGUCUAAUUAAGUUGACAUGUAUGACUUUAAUUAAGUUCAUAAACAUUUACUAUGUGCAUAGCGAACAAAGAAAUUGUGUAGCUGAUCACGACGACUGAUACAUAAUACAAUAUUGUUUUGACUUUGGAUAAAAAAAAACAGAUAUGAUACAAGUAGGUUAAUAUCCAAGAAGUGCUACGUACUUUCCAAAUCUUUCUUUGGUAUAGUGUGACAGUGAUGUAAUGAAAAAGGAAGAGAUAAAUAAAAAGAAAAUAAGGUAAAAACGAAAUAGAAGAAAAACAUGAGCGAUAUGUUUAUAACAAUUAGCCCAUUAGUAUAUAUAAAUUGCUGUUAAAAACCCAUUAGUAUAAGUCUUGGAUAAAAAAUCUUAAUUGCAUAGAGCCACUUUGUCCACAAUUUUAAUAAAGUAGUUAUGUAAAUAUCAAACUUUAUUAGCAGUUUUUUCCACGACUUUGACGGUCUUCACAAUUACUACUCAUUGUACUCAAUGUUUCAAAACCACAAUGCUUAUGGUUGGCACUUCCUAAGAAUUUAAUGAGUGAUAGAAACCUUGACUUGGAGUUGGAGCUGGCUAAGCACUGCCUAAGAAUUUAACGUUCUCUAACAGAAUUGAUAUGAAUCAAAUGCAACACAAAAGUUCUCAAGACACAAUAUGAGAAUCAUUAGAAGAUAUAAGGUUAAUUUUGUGGUUAAAAAAAGUAAAAAAAAAAAGAGAAAAAAAUGUUGUAAAUUCAAAUGUCGUAACUAAUAUUUUUAACAAAAUUAAUAAAUUAAUAUUUAUGGAUAAAAAAAUAUUAUGAGUUAUUUUGCCUUAAUUCAAAGCAUAGUGGUUAAAUAAAUCGGAGCGGAACAUAGUCAAGAAAGUUGUUUACGUGGGCCUGUCAAUCUGAUUCAUCUAAUUCAAAGCAAAAGAAAUGGCAUCUUAUUAACAUUGGCAAAUCUUGAAAAUGAUCAAUUGAAGGUUACUGACAGUACUACAAUGACACCCCAUUUGUGAUUUGUGGAGAAAAAGAAAAAUUCAUGUCAUGGAAUGGUGUUGGUGUUGGCUCACAUGCUUACCACAAAUGUCACAGGCACAGCUGAAUGUUUAAAUGUGCUCACGGAGGGAGGGUCAGAUCUUCUAUUGCUAUUGGCUUGGAUCCAAAGGACGAUUUGGUUAUUGGUACAAUUCAAUAUAGCCAGCAAAGAUUGCCCCAAUGCAAGUCCCCAACUAAGUAAGCUAGCAUUGCCACUCAGCUCAAUGGUACUAUUGAUGUUCCCUAACUGCACUAUUGCAUCAAAUGGAAGAGUGUAGACCGGGUAGUAGCCUAGUCCUUUUUUGCUAAUGAAUUCUGAGUUUUAAUGGCUUACCUAACCCUUUUUUUCUUUUGGUAGACCUAGCUAGCCCUUCUAUCCAUAAGGACUUGGCUGAAUGGCUGGUGAUUUUAGGUAGGUCACGCUAGUCACAUGGUUCAAGUGAUGCAAUGAAAAAUGGAAAAAGAUAAAAAUGAGAUGAAUGAUAAUAAAAUAAAGGUUCAAAUAUAUUUUUCGUUUUUAUAAAAUUAUAUAUUUUUAUAAAAUUAUAAGUGUUAUUUUUUUUUUCUGGAUUAAAGUUAGUAUCCAAAUCCAUAAUGAUGAUUUAUACAUAUAAUCAAUGUAAAUGUAAUAUUUUCUAUAUCAAUUAUGUAUGUAAUCAAUCUAAAUAAACAUUUUUUAUAUCACUUAUAUAUAUAACUAAUGUUAAAAAAUUAUACAUAUAAAUUUAGAUAUAUACGAGGAUAAAAAUUAUCUUUUAGUCUAAAAUAAAUUACGAAUUUAAUUUCUUUAGUAUUAUUAUUUAUCUUUAAGUAUUCCUUAAAAGUAAUGAAAUAAUGCAAGUAAUUGUUAAAAUAUUAAAUAUCUAUUAUUUCAUUCCUUAAGUUGAUAUAUUUUAUUAAAGAUCGUGAACUAAUUCGAAAGAUUUUUCAAUACUUAAAAAAUUACUUAUGAUGAUUUUAAAUACCUAAAGGAUAAUGUAAUUUCUUAGGGACUGCUACCAUAAUCUAGAUACAUAUGAUAUUAUCGUCUUUACUUUUGUAAUUUUUUAAUUCAGAAACUUUUAUUUUAAGAGAAGGUAGUAUUUUGUGGGAGAGAUUAUAGUUUAUUCAAAAGAAUACGAAAUGUAUGUUUUUAAGCACUUAAUAGAUGAAUAAUACUUUAGAUAGAUCUGCCUAUAAAUGCACUAUUCUUGACUUAUUUUAUUUUAUUUUUGGGUGAAGUGCGGAGUGAUAUUCUCUAAUGAUGAAUGGCCUAUAUUACAAAUUAUUUUAUAUGUUGUUUGAAUAUUGGUUUUACAAUAUUUUUCACUCUUUGGUAAGAUAAUAAAUAUCCCUUCCUUCAUAGUGUUGAACUUGUUUCUCCUUACACAAAAAUGACACUAUUGGUUUUACAAUAUUUUUAAUACGACUUUAAAGGAAUUAUUAUGAAAUUAAUAAAUAUAUCAUUUAUGGCAGUUUUUUUUAACAUGUUUAGACAAUUUUUUUAAAUUUUAAUUGUUUCUCUUUCAUAACCAGCUAGUUCCCCUCUUUUUGUCACAGGAAUUGAAACUCAAAUUUAUAAAAAGAAAAUAAUUAAAAUAUCUAUCAAUUAUUAAGAGAAUGACUAUCCAAAAAAUAAUGGCAGUCAAACUAAUUUUUUAUAAAAAAAUUUAUAACUACCUUAAUGACGGGAAAUUAAGACAAGGGCUUAUCUUAAUCAUUCAUGAAGGAAAUUUUCAAAUCAACAAUAAAUUAAUUUGCCCAAACUUUUGUCUCAGUUUAGUUAUGCAAUAUUCAUUUUUAAUUUAAAUAUACUAGUAAUGUAUUUUUUUAUACUAUCAUUAUUUAAAUAUUAAUAUGUAUGAUACAUUUAUUAUUAUUUUUUUCUAUAAUUUAUAAUUUAAAUAUACUAGUAAUGUAAUUUAAACAUUUUUUUAUUGAUUAUCGAUAUAAAGUUUUUUAUACUAAAUAAAAACUAAACUCUAUAAAAAUAAUAUACCGAAAAAACUCUAUAAAUAUAUUACAAAAAUUUUAAAUUUUUUCACAUUAUUUUUUUUAAAAUUUUAAAAAAUUGCUUUUUGAAAGCAAUAGAAUAAGACCUUAAUUCGAUUUGUGUGCUAAGAUUGUUAAGGAUCCACCACCUUAACUAUUUUAUGGUUAUUUUAGGUUGUUCUUUACUUAACUUAAUUUGAUGAAAAAUUUCCCUUUAGUUGUUGGACCCUCUGCGUCAGGCUUUCCGGGUAGCAUUGUUGGGAAACAGAGCUAUGCCAUGAACGAAGGAGAAGAACCCCUUUCACUCACCAUCAUCAUCAUGCUAAUUCACAUAUCAUUUCACUUCUUUUAGACAAUCUCGUGCUUUGAAAUUCAUCACCAUUUCUUUCACCACUCUUCCACUUUCAUAACUAUGCAUAUAGGUAUGUCUGCGAAUGCAAUCAUCCAAACCAAACCUGCUACUUUUCCUCACAAAAUGCCUUCUUUUUUAGUUUUCUUAUAAUUUUCCAUGGCUUUCUCAGGUGCCCUUUUGUAGCUUUUGAUCCAUUGGAGGAUCGUCUAUUGUUUCUACUAUUUUGGGUGGUUUCUGGAUUUUGUGCGGUGUUAUACAUUUUAGAAAUUUCUUAAUAAUUGGGUACCCUUUGCUAUGUUUUUGUUGUCGAGGCUCUAUGUAGAGUUGUUUUUAGAUUGGUCAUAGAAAGAUGUGUUAUUUCUAUCUGUGUUCAUUGGAAAAACUUGGGAGAAGUUGUCAAAGAGAGAGUAAAUUGAAGUACUUUACCAAUAUAUGGUUCUGGCAGAUGAAUAAUUCUGUCUGAAAGUUGAAUUAGUAUCAUUUGAGUUGACGAGUGAGGUUACUGA